rnacentral:rRNA from 1 species
CAGUAGCCGCGGGAAUACGUAGGGUGCGAGCGUUAAUCGGAAUUACUGGGCGUAAAGCGUGCGCAGGCGGUUGUGUAAGACAGGUGUGAAAUCCCCGGGCUUAACCUGGGAACUGCGCUUGUGACUGCACAGCUAGAGUGCGGCAGAGGGGGAUGGAAUUCCGCGUGUAGCAGUGAAAUGCGUAGAUAUGCGGAGGAACACCGAUGGCGAAGGCAAUCCCCUGGGCCUGCACUGACGCUCAGGUGCGAAAACGUGGGGAGCAAACAGGAUUAGAUACCCCCGUAGUCCCUGUCUCUUAUAC